UGGUCGGGGCGGACAGCCGAACUGUCAAUCACCGCAUAUGAAUUUUCACUAAGGCCGGGUUGAUUCUGAACUCGCACAGUCUGAAGAAGGGUCUCCUUCGCUAUUCCUUCGCUCCUACAGUAGAUGCUGCCUCACCCGCUGAGUUUCUCCAGCAUUUGUCUACCACAGACGCUGCAACUUUCAAAAACUGUGAGACAAGAUUCAAGAGUUUAUUGUCAUGUGUCCCUGAUAGGGCAAUGAAAUUCUUGCUUUGCUUCAGCACAACAGAACAUGAGCGGGCAGCUUAGGGCCCGGAGGGGCGAGGGAGCCCGGCGGGUGCAGCUGAUGGUCCCGUCUCCAGGAUGAGCGUGGAGGCCGGCGACGGGUCAUGAAUUUACGUCUAAGAAUUUAAUCUCUCGGCAAUUACGAAAAUCGCAGGAGGAAGAAACAUUAUAACGGAUUCCUCUGGAGCUUGCUGCAACAACUCUGGUUGUGUUAAGAGAAGCCCUGAUAGUAGCAAAAGGUCAAGAGGAGGAAAAUGGAAUAAUCACAGGAGUGGUUACACUGAGACUGCAGCCUUAUCUGAAAGGAACAACACCAUAUCUAUGCCUGUCUAUGCAGCUACUUCAUGAAUUAUUUAAUCUUUGAUAUAGUCCUUUAAUAUUUGUAAAUCGGUGUGACUUUGGCUGCAACUACUGUGAAAUAAAGCUGAUUUUGGAUCAAAUUCAAAAGCC